UCAUGUUCUCUAGUAAACCUCUGGGACCUUCACAGAAGAGCUGGAUAUAUCCACAAAAUUCCUGAAUUUAUGCCAUUACCUCGGAUUUGUAGUGGAAGCCGGUAUUUUACUUCGGCUUGCGCAGUUGUUUACGGUUGCGGGGUUACAUAUUUGCUAUUGAUUAACGUUUCUUACACACCAGUCUUUUUACCUGGCAUAAACGGCAACACAUCGGAGGUGGCUACACUGUAGUCUGCUGUCCUCCUUCUGGUCUUCAGUCCUCUGACUCCUUGUUUCCUGGACUUCACUGACGAGGUCACCCCAAGAUCCCUUCCGAAGAAUCUCCUCACUGCUGCUGUCCCCUGGAACCACUGCCUGGACCAUCCCUCACACCAACCUCACCUGUCCACCCUCCAACACCACCUCUCCGUCAUCAUCCCCAUCUUCCUCUUGGGACAAAGAAACAAACACCAUGAGCAAACCAUUCAUCACAGCACGUUCUGUAAAUCUCAGCCCCUGUGGAUAUACUCACCACUCUUCCGAGAUCCUCUGUGACUCUGCCAUCAUAUUGUCCAGGAACCCGCUCCUGAAACCUGGAAGAAACAUUUUGUGUUGUGUCAAACUGUUUAAACCUUCCCUUGUCAUCCUUGCUUGUUGCCUGCACAAGGGUCUCAUUACAAACCAUUAUUACAUAUUCCAAAUCUUACAACACUGACAAACAAAGGCAUGCUAGGAACCCAAAAAUAUGAGAUAAAAAAUGAGGACAAUAUGAGCCAGGAGCAACAGGGAAUCCAGCAAGACGUGACACAAAGAGAGAGCACUUUCACUGGGAAGAUUGAUUAGUGGAAGAAUUAACUGGUCAGUCUAAUUAACUAAAUGUGCUGCAGCUGGGGAAUAACCUGAACGGGAGCAACUGAGGAAGGCUGGAGAUUAACACAGAAACCAUGAGACAUUCCAUAGAAACAUUGAGGAAAUAACUGAUUAAUAUGGACAUACACAGGGAAACACAAGAAUAUUAAAGCACAAGGAAAAACAUAGAACCAAAUUCCACAACACAAAACAAAUAUUAAUUGAAUGGAAAACAACUUAAUGUAACUUACAGCCGUUAUUAAUUUGUUUUUCUACAUGGAAGCUAUACAUGGCCAGUUGUUUCUGUUUAGUUGGUCCAUCAGUUGAGCAACAGUUGCCAGUAACUUUAUAUUCUGUCUCUAUAGGAUACACCUGUGUUUCUGUAUUGUACUCUGUCUCUCUUCUAGAUAUAAUUGAAGGAGCUAUUACUGCUUCUAACCCACUAGCUAUAUGCACUUUGUUUUAAUCCUAUAGAUCCUUAACUGGCUUACAGUUUUUCUGUUUAGCUGUUUCUCUCUCUCCUAGAUGAAGCCACUAAAAGAACUGUGGCCAUUAACUCCCUACUUUAACAUAUAAAGUGCUCCUUGACAAGUACUUCUGU